GACAGUCCAAAGAAGAUAUGAUGGAACUGUUGAUUUCUAUAGGUUCUGGGAUGAUUACAAAACCGGAUUCGGGAACAUUGCUGGAGAGCAUUGGCUUGGGAAUGAUAAUCUACAUUUCAUACUUCGACAAAGAUCCUACCAAGUCCGAUUUGACCUUGAAGAUUUUGCAGAGAAUACAUCUUAUGCUGUAUACAGUACAAUGUAUGUUGGUGAUGAGAGUGCUAACUAUAAACUCAAUCUGACCGGUUACUAUGGAACAGCAGGUGAUGGAAUGGUGUCCUUUAAUGAAUUCAGAUCAUCAUUGAAUGGUAUGAUGUUUAGUACUCGUGACAGGGACAACGAUAUAAGUACAGAAUUGAAUUGUGCUGUCACAAAGAAGAGUGGCUGGUGGCACGGUGAGUGUACUGCUGCCAACAUCAACGGUGGUGUAUACUCAAAACAAUAUUCAGAUCCGUUAGUUCAUUGGAGGACAUGGAUAUACAUUGGGCUAAAAAAGACAACUAUGAUGAUUUAACCACAACAAUAAUGAUGAUCAAACCAAAGCCUGAAUAAACACAACUUCCAAUAGAAUGAUGUGACCCAUACAAUGUGUAGGUGUCUCAACUCACUAGUAGCAUGAUUUGUCGGUCAUAAAU